rnacentral:misc_RNA from 1 species
GAACGCACCUUGCGCUCCUUGGUAUUCCGAGGAGCAUGCCUGUUUGAGUGUCAUUAAAUUCUCAACCUCACCCAUUUUGUCAUGAGAUGGUUUGUGUAGGCUUGGAUGUGGAGGCUUUGCAGGUCCACUCUUUUGUGGUCUGCUCCUCUGAAAUGCAUUAGUGGGUUUCGCCCCUAAAUCUAUUGGUGUGAUAAUUAUCUACGCCGUUGAUCUAGGUUUGGCAAUACAAAGAACCUGCUGACAACUGUCCGUCUCGGACAAUCUCUGACGACUUGACCUCAAAUCGAGUAAGACUACCCGCUGAACUUAAG